GUUCAAGAGUACGUGAAAUUGUUGGAAGGGAAACGCUUGAGGUCAGACUUGCUAUUUGGAAUUCAGCCGCAAGGUGUACUUUUCAAUUCGCAGGCCAGCAUCAGUUUUCGGGGGUGGAAAAGGGUAGAGAGAAGGUAGCUGUCUCGGCAGUGUUAUAGCUCUUUACUGGAUUCAUCCUUGGGGACUGAGGAACGCAGCACGCUUUUUGCAAGGCUUUCGAGCUUUUCGUGCUUAGGAUGCUGGUGGAAUGGCCUUAAACGACCCGUCUUGAAACACGGACCAAGGAGUCUAACAUGCUUGCGAGUGUUUGGGUGUCAAACCCGGACGCGCAAUGAAAGUGAAUGGAGGUGGGAAGCGCAAGCUGCACCAUCGACCGAUCUGGAUUUUUUAAGAUGGAUUUGAGUAAGAGCAAUUAUGUUGGGACCCGAAAGAUGGUGAACUAA
rnacentral:rRNA from 1 species